rnacentral:lncRNA from 1 species
CUACGGCCGUUACAAUCCAACGAUUGCCAUGUAAGGUCGUGGGAAGAGGACCGUACAAGUCUAUUCCAACUACUUCGAAAGGCGAAGCGGGACAAGGCAGAGGUUGUAAAGAGCCAGAAGGAGCUGUUGGAUGUUUUGUACAUGCAAGGGAGCACUAUAGGCAUUUGAUAGCAGUUGCUUAGAUGUACCAGAUUAACAGGAACCAAACGAACUCCCUUAGACAUAAGCAUGCAGCAAAUUCAAGGACUAGAUGAAGCUUCAAAGAAGUAACUGUGUUUCAUGUAGGAUAGGAGUGAAUGACCUUUGUGCGUGAGAUCAGUUACAAAAACACUAAAUAAAUGCAGUACAGUGUCUGUAUCAUAUCUUAUGCAGGCCAAACUAGCCUGGAGUUUCAGCGUUCCUUGUCAGUUCAUUUAAAUAGGCACUACAUUGUUCAAAGUGCAAUAUUGUUCUACAAAACAUAAUAUGCAAGAUGUAGCAUGCUAACCCUCGUGGCUCAACAACUACUGAACCGAAACCUCAAUGAGCAGUGAAGCUUCCUUGUAAUUUUCAUCGUAACCAUACUUUUGCUCUUGAAAGUGAACCUUUUUAGUGAAUUUGCUCGUGUAUUAAUUUUUCUUUAGGCAAGUAUUUUUUUACAUGUUAAUGUCUCAAUCCUGCUUUCUUUUUCCGGAGCUAAAACAAAAUGCCUCUUAUUUCAAUUUGAUCUUUUGACCUAGGAAGCCAUCAUCUGGUGCUGUGUACAGCAAGCACAUGCUUCGGGCAAGGAGGGAGCCAGCACCAUAUCUACAUCAGCAAGAGCAUUGGUGCUCAAAAUAAACAUUUUCUUUGCAAA